GCUGAAGAGGCCAAGAUGGGCCAUCUGCAAGCAGAAUUUAGGAGAGCAGACGCUGCAAGGAAGUGGAGGAAGCAAAGAGAAGCAGACACGUCGUGUGUGGCUGGGUCACUUAGAGAACUAGAGGGAAUCUCCGUGCGUGUUUAUGGCUGAGGUCUCUAGGGCUGUCUUGAACCCCUGACCACUCACCAGCACCAGCCUCCAUUCUCGGCUUUUUGGAGGGCCCUAUCCCCUGCUGCUCCAUGUCUCUUUUUACAGUAAAUUCCACCUCUGUUCCAUGCCACCAGUGGACCCUAAUUAAACACGAGACCAGGAUUGGCGUUGUGUGCUGGUGGACUUGAAAUUGUCCAGGCAAGAGAGGACGAGGCUUUGAAUUAAGGGAGAGACAAUGGGGAUGAAGAGAAAUGACUAUUAAGGAGGCAGAAUCUCCACAGCUUGCUGUUGGGAGAAUCCCUUUAGGUGGUGGAUAUGAACGUCCUUUGUAAACCAUAGCGGGCUCGAAAAUGUAAAGCGGUGACUGCCGUAUUAUUUUUUCUGCAUCAUUUCCCAGAAGUAACAUAGAAAUAACAGGCUUUGGCUAUUACAAAUAAAGCUACUAUAAUAUGUUUUCAUGUCUCCUGGAC